AAAAAGCGGGCAGGGCAUUCAUUUUAUUUUAAUUUUAUAUAGUAAAAAAACCAAAGUAUUGUUUUAUAUAUAUAUUAGUUCGUAAUGUUAAUAAAAGCUAUUUAGUUCCUGUAGAUAUCGUACCGUGAGGGAAAGGCGUUAUUUUCAAAAAAGAAACUUCUUAGGUGUACCUUGUGUAUUAUGGUUGACCAAAGUUAGCGGUUAUAUAUAAUCAACAACGAAAUGGGACGAGUUAUUUCUUUCUAAAGUAUAGCUUUAAGCUCUCACUGUAGCAAAAGUUAGGGUUGAGGAAGAAAUAGGGGUGAUAUGCUUAUCGAGUUCUAUGUUAGCUUUUUCCCAAGGAAUUAGGUAUUAGCCUAAACUAUGUUGUAUAGAGGAGAGAAACGCGGAUAAUCGCAUU
rnacentral:rRNA from 1 species